AUUGAACGCUGGCGGCAUGCCUUACACAUGCAAGUCGAACGGCAGCACGGGAGCAAUCCUGGUGGCGAGUGGCGAACGGGUGAGUAAUAUAUCGGAACGUGCCCGGUCGUGGGGGAUAACGUAGCGAAAGCUACGCUAAUACCGCAUACGAUCUACGGAUGAAAGCGGGGGAUCGCAAGACCUCGCGCGAUUGGAGCGGCCGAUAUCAGAUUAGGUAGUUGGUGAGGUAAAGGCGUCACCAAGCCGACGAUCUGUAGCUGGUCUGAGAGGACGACCAGCCACACUGGGACUGAGACACGGCCCAGACUCCUACGGGAGGCAGCAGUGGGGAAUUUUGGACAAUGGCGCAAGCUGAUCCAGCAAUGCCGCGUGCAGGAUGAA
rnacentral:rRNA from 1 species